AAUUAUCGGUUGAAUGGAC
rnacentral:misc_RNA from 1 species